GCCCUGGGUAAGUCGGAGCCUAAGUCCCAGGCCGAAAGGGCGUAGGCGAUGGUAAUCCGGUUCAAAAUCCGGGACCUCCGGCAUUUCGAUGCCACGACGCAUGAGGGCGACGUCCGGCGGGAGAACGGUAGUUCCCGUCCAAGCAUUGAGCCGUCAAGGGAGGGGGUUAAAUGAUCCUCCCAGGCGAGAUGUGACAGCGAGCUGAGAGAAAGUCGAASCGAAGCGGGCAGAGUCAAGGUGCCGAGAAAGAGUGGCUAGGCAAGGUGCCGGAGUCCGUACCGUAAACGGACACACGUAUGUAGGAUGAGUAAUCUAAGGCGCUCGAGCGACCUUGCGUUAAGGAACUCGGCAAAAUGCGCACGUAACUUCGGAAGAAUUGCGGCUACCUGUUGAAAGGAUAAGGGGC
rnacentral:rRNA from 1 species